UCGAGAAUUUUUCUCAAUGGGCGAAAGCCUGAAGGAGCGACGCCGCGUGGAGGAUGAAGGUCUUCGGAUUGUAAACUCCUGUCAUUGGGGAACAAAGCUUCCGGUUAACUGCCGGCGAGUCUGAUAGUACCCGAAGAGGAAGAGACGGCUAACUCUGUGCCAGCAGCCGCGGUAAUACAGAGGUCUCAAGCGUUGUUCGGAUUCAUUGGGCGUAAAGGGUGCGUAGGCGGCGGGGUAAGUCGGAUGUGAAAUCCCAGGGCUCAACCCUGGAACUGCAUUCGAUACUGCCUUGCUCGAGUACUGGAGAGGAGACUGGAAUUUACGGUGUAGCAGUGAAAUGCGUAGAUAUCGUAAGGAAGACCAGUGGCGAAGGCGAGUCUCUGGACAGUUACUGACGCUGAGGCACGAAGGCCAGGGGAGCAAACGG
rnacentral:rRNA from 1 species